AGGCAAAUUAGAAAUUACAAAUGACAUUUUGCAUUACUGAAGGUGACUAGACUUUUCUAUGCUUUUGUAAGUUUAGGCAACAAGGAUUCCCGUGGUUACCUUGUGUCCACUCGGAGUGGACACCUGUCGCUCACUUCUUUUAGCCUAUUAUGACACUUUAGAAUCUUAUUUGCUGCAGCAAGUGCCUUUUUUUUCUCUUUGCUAAUUUUGCAAAAUAAGGUUCUAAACUAUGUUUCAAGGUAUGCUUUGCCGUGUUGUGUGCUUAAAACAUCAAUAAUAUGCUAUUGUAACUAAACAAAGGUCAUGGCCACUUGAGCUGUCACUUAGAAUCUCUUGGCCAAAUUUCAUGUCUAUCUUGCAGCCACUAUAUUAAAUCACUUUCCUGCAAAUAAAGCUUCCCUUCCAUAAAUACCAAUCAUUCAAGUCUUUUACUUUUGCAAACUAACUUGGGACUGUAGCAGUUGUUUCCUUGUGUUUUCUACUGGUUUCUCUACAUCAAUUCACCGGAGUAAAGGUUCUGCCCUUUUAAACUGAAAUGAUGGUCGACGAUGUUGGUUUGAAGAUACAGCAUAAGGAAAGUUGGUGAAGUACACAUAAAACCAACGAGUAAUAAAUGUGUAUAUUUGGGACAUACACAGGACCAGUUGUUUCCUUGUAUAUUUCACUCAUUACAUGAAGUCACCGGAUUAAAGUUUUUGUCAUUCUAAAUUGAAACGAAGGUUAGCAAACGUUGUUUUGAAGAUGCAACACGAGGAAAUUUGGUGAACUCCACCUAAGACCAUCAAGUACUAAAUGUGUAAAUUUGGCUGGAAUUAUUUUCAAACCAGUGGUCAAGAGGAAGAAUUAAACUGGCCGAGCCUCUUCAAGACACAGUUCACAAGAGGUUGGAAAACUCAAACUGCUAUCUUAGUCAUGACAUAGCAGAUGAUCUCGGCAGUAAAUAAUAACUAGUAUUUACAUUGCACUCAAAUCUUUCUUUGCUCUUCUUAAGCGACGACAAUGAAGGGAAGAGAAAAGGAGAAGAAAGCUAGCAUCGCCCAAAAGAAAAAAAGCUAAGACGAGGAGAACUGGAAGUUGGACCUGAUGUUUGAAUGACUACAGGUGAAGAGUGGUGUCCACAUCUGGUUCGUUGCCAGACACCGGGCGGUGUGAAGUCGUCUGAUUGGGCCACAAGCCCAUUGACAGUGAGAUCUCGAGGGCCUGCAAGUCUGUGUGAUCACCAUGGUCGUCGAGCCAACACGAUGGUGGAGGACCACGGAUAGGCCUGGAUGGACGAACUAGAUCGGGAUGGACGAACCACACGGGUUGGGCACACUGAGCAUUCGAGUUUGGCCUCUCCCCAUGAGAGAAUGCCCGCUGCUGUUCCCUUUCUUCUCUCAUUUCUUUGAGUCUCUGCAGCUGUCUGAAUCUCUCCUGCAACAGAGCAAUGGAGGUCGGCUUGUUGUUCUGCCUCCCCAUGAGUCGGUAGUGGACUCGGAAUGCCAAUUCGGAGCAGGUGGAGCUGAGGGAGGCUGAGGUCUACAGAUUGAUCCUACAUGAUGUGCAGGGGAGAGGAGAAUCCAGAGAGGGGAUGCAAAGUCCAAGAAGGAAAGGGUUUGUGGGCUAUCUAAGGAGUUAGGAUGGUGGAGGACGCGAGCAGGACCAGAGCCACUUUUCAAAGGCACAUAAAAGCGGGAGAGCAGUCCAAGGAUGCAUGGAGGUUAGCAUUUGGAUGCGAGCUUGCAGAGAAUAUAAGCAGAUCAAUGUGGCUGCUGGACCCAGGAUCCAGAAUUGAAGUCAGUCGAAGCCAUGAAUAAAGGACUGGACCCUGGUUGAAAAGCUAGCACAACGUUGCUGUUGUGCAUCAGGUUCUUUGUAGUGCAUGCUUAGUCCUGGGAAUCUGAACCCAUAGCAGAUCCAAUGAGAAAAAGAAAAGUUCCAACUGAUGCCAUGAAAGGUAAUUUUAUGAGUGCCAGAUGAACCGGGGCCACGAUCGGCUGCACACAUAUGGUUGUUGUUCUCCUCUGCCCGAUUCCUCCAUUUCGAGUUCAUCCCAGGGUUCAUGCGGAUGGUGCCACUACUUGCUGCAAGCUCAAACUUGCAGCUGCAGGAGGAGGGUGGUUUGAAUUUGGUAAUGAUAUGGAAAUCAAUCAGCAUCACCAGGCCUGCUCUGCACUGCACUGCAUGCACUGCACUGCAAGAGGGUUUCUUCAUGCAUCUCCGUGACUGCUAAUCCAUUCAAUGUAUAUCACCAAAUCAAUACUCUGGUUUGUUGUUUUCAAUGAAUUUGAGUUGCUAGA